rnacentral:rRNA from 1 species
GGGUUGUGAGGUUAAGCGACUAAGCGUACACGGUGGAUGCCCUGGCAGUCAGAGGCGAUGAAGGGCGUGCUAAUCUGCGAUAAGCGCCGGUAAGGUGAUAUGAACCGUUAUAACCGGCGAUACCCGAAUGGGGAAACCCAGUGUGAUUCGUCACACUAUCAUUAACUGAAUCCAUAGGUUAAUGAGGCGAACCGGGGGAACUGAAACAUCUAAGUACCCCGAGGAAAAGAAAUCAACCGAGAUUCCCCCAGUAGCGGCGAGCGAACGGGGAGGAGCCCAGAGCCUGAAUCAGCAUGUGUGUUAGUGGAAGCGUCUGGAAAGGCGCGCGAUACAGGGUGACAGCCCCGUACACAAAAGCGCAUGUGCUGUGAGCUCGAUGAGUAGGGCGGGACACGUGGUAUCCUGUCUGAAUAUGGGGGGACCAUCCUCCAAGGCUAAAUACUCCUGACUGACCGAUAGUGAACCAGUACCGUGAGGGAAAGGCGAAAAGAACCCCGGCGAGGGGAGUGAAAAAGAACCUGAAACCGUGUACGUACAAGCAGUGGGAGCACAGGUUUACCUGUGUGACUGCGUACCUUUUGUAUAAUGGGUCAGCGACUUAUAUUCUGUAGCAAGGUUAACCGUAUAGGGGAGCCGUAGGGAAACCGAGUCUUAACCGGGCGUUAAGUUGCAGGGUAUAGACCCGAAACCCGGUGAUCUAGCCAUGGGCAGGUUGAAGGUUGGGUAACACUAACUGGAGGACCGAACCGACUAAUGUUGAAAAAUUAGCGGAUGACCUGUGGCUGGGGGUGAAAGGCCAAUCAAACCGGGAGAUAGCUGGUUCUCCCCGAAAGCUAUUUAGGUAGCGCCUCGUGAAUUCAUCUCCGGGGGUAGAGCACUGUUUCGGCUAGGGGGCCAUCCCGGCUUACCAACCCGAUGCAAACUGCGAAUACCGGAGAAUGUUAUCACGGGAGACACACGGCGGGUGCUAACGUCCGUCGUGAAGAGGGAAACAACCCAGACCGCCAGCUAAGGUCCCAAAGUCAUGGUUAAGUGGGAAACGAUGUGGGAAGGCCCAGACAGCCAGGAUGUUGGCUUAGAAGCAGCCAUCAUUUAAAGAAAGCGUAAUAGCUCACUGGUCGAGUCGGCCUGCGCGGAAGAUGUAACGGGGCUAAACCAUGCACCGAAGCUGCGGCAGCGACGCUUAUGCGUUGUUGGGUAGGGGAGCGUUCUGUAAGCCUGUGAAGGUGGCCUGUGAGGGUUGCUGGAGGUAUCAGAAGUGCGAAUGCUGACAUAAGUAACGAUAAAGCGGGUGAAAAGCCCGCUCGCCGGAAGACCAAGGGUUCCUGUCCAACGUUAAUCGGGGCAGGGUGAGUCGACCCCUAAGGCGAGGCCGAAAGGCGUAGUCGAUGGGAAACGGGUUAAUAUUCCCGUACUUGGUGUUACUGCGAAGGGGGGACGGAGAAGGCUAUGUUGGCCGGGCGACGGUUGUCCCGGUUUAAGCGUGUAGGUGUGUGUUCCAGGUAAAUCCGGUUCACUUUAACACUGAGGCGUGAUGACGAGGCACUACGGUGCUGAAGCAACAAAUGCCCUGCUUCCAGGAAAAGCCUCUAAGCAUCAGGUAACAUCAAAUCGUACCCCAAACCGACACAGGUGGUCAGGUAGAGAAUACCAAGGCGCUUGAGAGAACUCGGGUGAAGGAACUAGGCAAAAUGGUGCCGUAACUUCGGGAGAAGGCACGCUGACACGUAGGUGAAGUGAUUUACUCACGGAGCUGAAGUCAGUCGAAGAUACCAGCUGGCUGCAACUGUUUAUUAAAAACACAGCACUGUGCAAACACGAAAGUGGACGUAUACGGUGUGACGCCUGCCCGGUGCCGGAAGGUUAAUUGAUGGGGUCAGCGCAAGCGAAGCUCCUGAUCGAAGCCCCGGUAAACGGCGGCCGUAACUAUAACGGUCCUAAGGUAGCGAAAUUCCUUGUCGGGUAAGUUCCGACCUGCACGAAUGGCGUAAUGAUGGCCAGGCUGUCUCCACCCGAGACUCAGUGAAAUUGAACUCGCUGUGAAGAUGCAGUGUACCCGCGGCAAGACGGAAAGACCCCGUGAACCUUUACUAUAGCUUGACACUGAACAUUGAGCCUUGAUGUGUAGGAUAGGUGGGAGGCUUUGAAGCGUGGACGCCAGUCUGCGUGGAGCCGACCUUGAAAUACCACCCUUUAAUGUUUGAUGUUCUAACGUGGACCCGUAAUCCGGGUUGCGGACAGUGUCUGGUGGGUAGUUUGACUGGGGCGGUCUCCUCCUAAAGAGUAACGGAGGAGCACGAAGGUUGGCUAAUCCUGGUCGGACAUCAGGAGGUUAGUGCAAUGGCAUAAGCCAGCUUGACUGCGAGCGUGACGGCGCGAGCAGGUGCGAAAGCAGGUCAUAGUGAUCCGGUGGUUCUGAAUGGAAGGGCCAUCGCUCAACGGAUAAAAGGUACUCCGGGGAUAACAGGCUGAUACCGCCCAAGAGUUCAUAUCGACGGCGGUGUUUGGCACCUCGAUGUCGGCUCAUCACAUCCUGGGGCUGAAGUAGGUCCCAAGGGUAUGGCUGUUCGCCAUUUAAAGUGGUACGCGAGCUGGGUUUAGAACGUCGUGAGACAGUUCGGUCCCUAUCUGCCGUGGGCGCUGGAGAACUGAGGGGGGCUGCUCCUAGUACGAGAGGACCGGAGUGGACGCAUCACUGGUGUUCGGGUUGUCAUGCCAAUGGCACUGCCCGGUAGCUAAAUGCGGAAGAGAUAAGUGCUGAAAGCAUCUAAGCACGAAACUUGCCCCGAGAUGAGUUCUCCCUGAGACUUAGAGUCUCCUGAAGGAACGUUGAAGACGACGACGUUGAUAGGCCGGGUGUGUAAGCGCAGCGAUGCGUUGAGCUAACCGGUACUAAUGAACCGUGAGGCUUAACCUUACAACGCCGAAGCUGUU